UACGGUAGGCAGCAAGCGUUGUUCGGAAUUAGCUAGGGCGUAAAGGCGCGUAGGCGGCUUGGUAAGGGGGCGGUGAAAGCCGGGCUCAACCCCGGUCUGCCGGACCGACUGCCGAGCUUGAGCAUCAACUGAGGGGCAGGUGGGAAUUCCGGGUGUAGCGGUGGAAUGCGUAGAGAUCCGGAAGAACACCGGUGGCGAAGGCGGUCUGCUGGGCCAAGACUGACGCUGAGGCGCGACAGCGUGGGGAGCAAACAGGG
rnacentral:rRNA from 1 species